AACGAACGCUGGCGGCGUGGAUAAGACAUGCAAGUCGAACGGGACUUAAGAGGUAGCAAUAUUUCUUAAGUUCAGUGGCGCAAGGGUGCGUAACACGUGAGCAACCUGCCCGAAAGUGGGGGAUAGCUCGCCGAAAGGCGAAUUAAUACCGCAUGUGGCCAGGAAGAUAUUCUUCCGACGCCAAAGCCGGGGUAACCUGGCGCUUUCGGAUGGGCCCGCGGCCUAUCAGCUUGUUGGUGAGGUAACGGCUCACCAAGGCUAUGACGGGUAGCUGGUCUGAGAGGACGACCAGCCACACUGGAACUGAGACACGGUCCAGACACCUACGGGUGGCAGCAGUCGAGAAUUUUUCUCAAUGGGGGAAACCCUGAAGGAGCGACGCCGCGUGGAGGAUGAAGGUCUUCGGAUUGUAAACUCCUGUCAUGAGGGAACAAACCUGCGCGUUUAACUGGCGCGCGGCUGAUAGUACCUCAAGAGGAAGAGACGGCUAACUCUGUGCCAGCAGCCGCGGUAAUACAGAGGUCUCAAGCGUUGUUCGGAUUCAUUGGGCGUAAAGGGUGCGUAGGCGGCGUUGCAAGUCAGGUGUGAAAUCCCGGAGCUUAACUCCGGAACUGCACUUGAUACUGCUUCGCUCGAGGACUGGGGAGGAGAUCGGAAUUCACGGUGUAGCAGUGAAAUGCGUAGAUAUCGUGAGGAAGGCCAGUGGCGAAGGCGGAUCUCUGGACAGUUCCUGACGCUGAGGCACGAAGGCCAGGGGAGCAAACGGGAUUAGAUACCCCGGUAGUCCUGGCAGUAAACGGUGCACGUUUGGUGUGGGCGGAUUCGACCCCGUCCGCGCCGGAGCUAACGCGUUAAACGUGCCGCCUGGGGAGUACGGUCGCAAGAUUAAAACUCAAAGAAAUUGACGGGGGCCCGCACAAGCGGUGGAGUAUGUGGCUUAAUUCGAUGCAACGCGAAGAACCUUACCAAGCCUUGACAUGCAUUGCUAAGGCGGUGAAAGCCGCUGAGUCCCGCAAGGGACGCCUUGCACAGGUGCUGCAUGGCUGUCGUCAGCUCGUGUCGUGAGAUGUUGGGUUAAGUCCCGCAACGAGCGCAACCCCUGUGAACUGUUGCCACCCGGCCGUGAGGCCGGAGCACUCUGUUCAGACUGCCCUGUGAAACGGGGAGGAAGGUGGGGACGACGUCAAGUCAGGAUGGCCCUUACGGCUUGGGCUGCACACGUACUACAAUGCUCAGUACAGAACGAACCAAUACCGCGAGGUGGAGGAAAUCCCUAAAACUGAGCCCAAUUCGGAUUGGAGGCUGCAACUCGCCUCCAUGAAGCCGGAAUCGCUAGUAAUGGCGCAUCAGCUACGGCGCCGUGAAUACGUUCCCGGGCCUUGUACACACCGCCCGUCACAUCAUGGGAGUCGCUUGUACCCGAAGUAGGCGCGCCAACCGCAAGGAGGCAGCUUCCUAAGGUAUGAGCGGUAACUGGGAUG
rnacentral:rRNA from 1 species